rnacentral:rRNA from 1 species
GACGAACGCUGGCGGCGUGCUUAACACAUGCAAGUCGAACGGAAAGGCCCUGCUUUUGUGGGGUGCUCGAGUGGCGAACGGGUGAGUAACACGUGAGUAACCUGCCCUUGACUUUGGGAUAACUUCAGGAAACUGGGGCUAAUACCGGAUAGGAGCUCCUGCUGCAUGGUGGAGGUUGGAAAGUUUCGGCGGUUGGGGAUGGACUCGCGGCUUAUCAGCUUGUUGGUGGGGUAGUGGCUUACCAAGGCUUUGACGGGUAGCCGGCCUGAGAGGGUGACCGGCCACAUUGGGACUGAGAUACGGCCCAGACUCCUACGGGAGGCAGCAGUGGGGAAUAUUGCACAGUGGGCGGAAGCCUGAUGCAGCAACGCCGCGUGCGGGAUGACGGCCUUCGGGUUGUAAACCGCUUUCGCCUGUGACGAAGCGUGAGUGACGGUAAUGGGUAAAGAAGCACCGGCUAACUACGUG